GAUGAACGCUGGCGGCGUGCCUAAUACAUGCAAGUCGAGCGAACAGAUGAGGAGCUUGCUCCUCUGACGUUAGCGGCGGACGGGUGAGUAACACGUGGAUAACCUACCUAUAAGACUGGGAUAACUUCGGGAAACCGGAGCUAAUACCGGAUAAUAUAUUGAACCGCAUGGUUCAAUAGUGAAAGACGGUUUUGCUGUCACUUAUAGAUGGAUCCGCGCCGCAUUAGCUAGUUGGUAAGGUAACGGCUUACCAAGGCGACGAUGCGUAGCCGACCUGAGAGGGUGAUCGGCCACACUGGAACUGAGACACGGUCCAGACUCCUACGGGAGGCAGCAGUAGGGAAUCUUCCGCAAUGGGCGAAAGCCUGACGGAGCAACGCCGCGUGAGUGAUGAAGGUCUUCGGAUCGUAAAACUCUGUUAUUAGGGAAGAACAAAUGUGUAAGUAACUAUGCACGUCUUGACGGUACCUAAUCAGAAAGCCACGGCUAACCACGU
rnacentral:rRNA from 1 species